CCUACGGGUGGCUGCAGUCGAGAAUCUUCGGCAAUGAGCGCAAGCUUGACCGAGCGACGCCGCGUGCGGGAUGAAGGCCUUCGGGUUGUAAACCGCUUUGGUCCGAGAGAAAGGGCAACUUGAUCGAUCGGAGAAACAAGGACGGGCUAAGUUCGUGCCAGCAGCCGCGGUAAGACGAACCGUCCAAACGUUAUUCGGAAUCACUGGGCUUAAAGGGCGCGUAGGCGGCCGAGCGGGUCGCGGGUGAAAUCCUCCAGCUUAACUGGAGAACUGCCCUCGAUACCACUGCGGCUCGAGGAAGGAAGGGGCAAUCGGAACUGUCGGUGGAGCGGUGAAAUGCGUUGAUAUCGACAGGAACGCCGGUGGCGAAAGCGGAUUGCUGGUCCUUUUCUGACGCUGAGGCGCGAAAGCCAGGGGAGCAAACGGGAUUAGAUACCCCAGUAGUC
rnacentral:rRNA from 1 species